CAAUAGCGUAUAUUUAAGUUGUUGCAGUUAAAAAGCUCGUAGUUGGAUUUCGGAUGGGAUUUGCCGGUCCGUCGUUACGAUGUGCACUGGCCAGUCCUAUCUUGUUGUCGGGGACUAGCUCCUUGGAUUCACUUCCUUGGACUAGGAGCUGACGAGGUUACUUUGAGUAAAUUAGAGUGUUCAAAGCAAGCCUACGCUCUGAAUACAUUAGCAUGGAAUAACACGAUAGGACUCUGGCUUAUCUUGUUGGUCUGUGAGACCAGAGUAAUGAUUAAGAGGGACAGUCGGGGACAUUCGUAUUUCAUUGUCAGAGGUGAAAUUCUUGGAUUUAUGAAAGACGAACUUCUGCGAAAGCAUUUGUCAAGGAUGUUUUCAUUAA
rnacentral:rRNA from 1 species